CUACGGGGGGCACCAGUGAGGAAUAUUGCACAAUGGAGGAAACUCUGAUGCAGCAACGCCGCGUGGAGGAUGACGCAUUUCGGUGUGUAAACUCCUUUUAUGAGUCAAGAAAAUGACGGUAGCUCAUGAAUAAGCACCGGCUAACUCCGUGCCAGCAGCCGCGGUAAUACGGAGGGUGCAAGCGUUACUCGGAAUCACUGGGCGUAAAGGACGCGUAGGCGGGAUAUCAAGUCAGGUGUGAAAUCCUACAGCUUAACUGUAGAACUGCACUUGAAACUGGUAACCUAGAGUAUGGGAGGGGGAGAUGGAAUUAGUGGUGUAGGGGUAAAAUCCGUAGAUAUCACUAGGAAUACCUAAAGCGAAGGCGAUCUCCUGGAACAUAACUGACGCUAAGGCGUGAAAGCGUGGGGAGCAAACAGGAUUAGAUACCCCUGUAGUC
rnacentral:rRNA from 1 species